rnacentral:rRNA from 1 species
AGAGUUUGAUCCUGGCUCAGGAUGAACGCUGGCGGCGUGCCUAAUACAUGCAAGUCGAACGCUUUGUGCUUAAUUGAUAUGACGAGCUUGCUCUGAUUUGAUUUUUUGAUUUCAAAGAGUGGCGAACGGGUGAGUAACACGUGGGUAACCUACCUCUUAGCAGGGGAUAACAUUUGGAAACAAGUGCUAAUACCGUAUAAUACCAACAACCGCAUGGUUGUUGGUUGAAAGAUGGUUCUGCUAUCACUAAGAGAUGGACCCGCGGUGCAUUAGCUAGUUGGUAAGGUAAUGGCUUACCAAGGCAAUGAUGCAUAGCCGAGUUGAGAGACUGAUCGGCCACAAUGGGACUGAGACACGGCCCAUACUCCUACGGGAGGCAGCAGUAGGGAAUCUUCCACAAUGGGCGCAAGCCUGAUGGAGCAACGCCGCGUGUGUGAUGAAGGGUUUCGGCUCGUAAAACACUGUUAUAAGAGAAGAACGGCACUGAGAGUAACUGUUCAGUGUGUGACGGUAUCUUACCAGAAAGGAACGGCUAAAUACGUGCCAGCAGCCGCGGUAAUACGUAUGUUCCAAGCGUUAUCCGGAUUUAUUGGGCGUAAAGCGAGCGCAGACGGUUAUUUAAGUCUGAAGUGAAAGCCCUCAGCUCAACUGAGGAAUUGCUUUGGAAACUGGAUGACUUGAGUGCAGUAGAGGAAAGUGGAACUCCAUGUGUAGCGGUGAAAUGCGUAGAUAUAUGGAAGAACACCAGUGGCGAAGGCGGCUUUCUGGACUGUAACUGACGUUGAGGCUCGAAAGUGUGGGUAGCAAACAGGAUUAGAUACCCUGGUAGUCCACACCGUAAACGAUGAGUGCUAGAUGUUCGAGGGUUUCCGCCCUUGAGUGUCGCAGCU